rnacentral:lncRNA from 1 species
CUCCUCUUGGCAAGCUUCCAGGUGGAGGAGGUGGACGAGGUGGUCCACCAGGUGGAGGAGGUGGUGGUGGUGGUGCACCUGGUGGUGGAGGUGGCACUCCACCUGAAGGAUUGGCAUUUGUAGCAACUGGAGCACCAGCAGAUGAUUUAGGAGGAGGCCGCGGCACCCUAGGAGCCCUCUUCUCGGUGUGGGCAAGUUUCAUCUUGCUUACUGUCUGCGAAUCAACAUCCUUACCAUCACUAGAUUGUUCACUUGACUCACCAGAGGCAACUGGUUUCUCUUUUAUUUGGGAAAGUUU